CCUACGGGUGGCAGCAGUAGGGAAUCUUGCACAAUGGGGGGAACCCUGAUGCAGCGACGCCGCGUGAGUGAAGAAGUAAUUCGUUAUGUAAAGCUCUAUCAGCAGGGAAGAAAAUGACGGUACCUGAGUAAGAAGCCCCGGUUAACUACGUGCCAGCAGCCGCGGUAAUAAGUAGGGGGCAAGCGUUAUCCGGAUUUACUGGGUGUAAGGGGAGCGUAGACGGGAGUGCAAGUCUGGAGUGAAAGGCGGGGGCUUAAACCCCGGACUGCUCUGGAAACUGUACGGCUGGAGUGCAGGAGAGGGAAGUGGAAUUCCUAGUGUAGCGGUGAAAUGCGUAGAUAUUAGGAGGAACACCAGUGGCGAAGGCGGCUCACUGGACUGUAACUGACGUUGAGGCUCGAAAGCGUGGGGAGCAAACAGGAUUAGAUACCCCAGUAGUC
rnacentral:rRNA from 1 species